UACGGAAGGCAGCAGUGGGGAAUAUUGCACAAUGGGCGAAAGCCUGAUGCAGCUAUGCCGCGUGUAUGAAGAAGGCCUUAGGGUUGUAAAGUACUUUCAGCGGGGAGGAAGGCGAUGCGGUUAAUAACCGCGUCGAUUGACGUUACCCGCAGAAGAAGCACCGGCUAACUCCGUGCCAGCAGCCGCGGUAAUACGGAGGGUGCAAGCGUUAAUCGGAAUUACUGGGCGUAAAGCGCACGCAGGCGGUCUGUUAAGUCAGAUGUGAAAUCCCCGGGCUUAACCUGGGAACUGCAUUUUGAAACUGGCAGGCUUGAGUCUUGUAGAGGGGGUAGAAUUCCAGGUGUAGCGGUGAAAUGCGUAGAGAUCUGGAGGAAUACCGGUGGCGAAGGCGGCCCCUGGGACAAGACUGACGCUCAGGGUGCGAAAGCGUGGGGAGCAAACAGGAUUAGAUACC
rnacentral:rRNA from 1 species